rnacentral:tRNA from 1 species
GUCAAUAUGUCCGAGUGGUUAAGGAGAUAGACUUGAAAUCUAUUUGGCUUUGCCUGCGCAGGUUUGAAUCCUGCUGUUGACG